rnacentral:lncRNA from 1 species
CUCCCAGCAGUUUCUUUUGUGCCCUGGUCAGUGGGACUUGUUCCCACAGUGGGACUUGUGUCCAGUGUUUCCAGUCGCAGCGGGAGAAUGGAUCUCCACCCACGGUGGUGGUGAGGGCUGAGAGGGGAGGGCAGCCCCAGCUAAAGAGCUCCUUUUUGAUCUGCUACCUCCUGUGCUGGAUCAGUCACAUACAAGUGGAGAGCCUGAGUGGUGAGGUCUCCAAUAAAUGCAGCUAAAGACAUCUAAGAUGGAAAGUCAGGCCCUGGAAAUAUACUGGCAAAACUCAAGAGCAGGAAAGGAUUGGACCCUCAGGGCAAGUGGAGGCCUUCUGUUUGUCAUUCAGCAUGAUGAAAUGUUUCUCUGCAGUAUUUGAGUGGUGAAGUGCUGCAAACUUAGAAUUGAGCUGCUUUAAUGUUACAGUCAUUUUUAUCACCCCGUCUGUGCAAUGUCAAGAUGUGACUAUCUUCAAGUAACUCAUUUAGUAUAACCAGCCAGAAAUCUUUACACAAGAAAGAAGUUAUGAUUAGCAGGUGUGAGACCAGUCUGAUUUUAGUCUUGUCCCAUGGUUUCAACAACAAACUCUUUGAGCUUUUGUUCCUUUUUGUAAUGAGAAUUUCUGUUUUACAGUUGGGAGCAGCAUCCCCUUUCCAAGUGAGAACUGAACCGUGCACUCUCUGGAGUCCUUCACUACUGCUUGGCUGGCUGGGUAGUAGCUGAUGGAUGAGUGUCCUUCCUGGCCAGCCACUGUGCUGUUUCUCCUGCACUCCCAGCAGAGAAUGAGAGACCAAGGAUGUUCCAUGUGCCCCUGUGGAGCACAGCUGCACUGCCAAAUGAAGGUUCCAUUGCUUGCAUCAUUCCUCUGUGCUCCCACAAUUGAUAUUCUCCACAGGAGAGUUCUUCAAACUAUUUGUUACAGCCCCCAACAAGCUUCCAGUGGAUCACAGGAGCUGUGAAUUUUUAGACUCUUGAAGAAGCAAUGAACUACUUUGACUUCCUGGCAGUCUACAUCUGCAGCUGUUAUAUAAAGCUAGUUUUCACUUCCUUGCCUUGGAAGUGCUGAGCAGAUGCUGUUUCCUCAGAGAAGUGGAAGGGCUGAGUGGAUAACAUCUCCUCUGAGAUGCCCUCCUCUUUUUCCUCAUAUAAUUUGUGUGAAGAUGAAUGAAUUUUCUUGCAAAUAAUUUGAGAUUAUAUCCUCCAGAGGGUCUAGUUGUUAAGUAGCAUCAAUCUUUACUCCCCAAAAAGCCAGUUUUUAAUAUCCAUAUUCUUAUCCAUUAUAUAUUUCCCUUCCCUUCCCUUCCCUUCCCUUCCCUUCCCU